CCUCUGGACUGAAAGAUGGCAUCAGAAGUGGGAUCUAAAGUAAAGCUUCUAACAAUCCCCAUGAGCACUGAGUGACCAAGCAAGGUACACGCCAGGCCUGUUCUGUCUGUUGCUCUCACAGAGGAGCUGGGGAUCGUGGAGGUUCAUGACAGGAUGAAAAGAAACCUGAGAAGCACUCUUGAAGAGAGGUUUCUGAAUAACUUUCGAAUCAUAUCAUUUG
rnacentral:lncRNA from 1 species